rnacentral:rRNA from 1 species
GAUGAACGCUGGCGGCGUGCCUAAUACAUGCAAGUCGAGCGAACAGACGAGAAGCUUGCUUCUCUGAUGUUAGCGGCGGACGGGUGAGUAACACGUGGAUAACCUACCUAUAAGACUGGGAUAACUUCGGGAAACCGGAGCUAAUACCGGAUGAUAUUUUGAACCGCAUGGUUCAAUAGUGAAAGACGGUCUUGCUGUCACUUAUAGAUGGAUCCGCGCUGCAUUAGCUAGUUGGUAAGGUAACGGCUUACCAAGGCAACGAUGCAUAGCCGACCUGAGAGGGUGAUCGGCCACACUGGAGCUGAGACACGGUCCAGACUCCUACGGGAGGCAGCAGUAGGGAAUCUUCCGCAAUGGGCGAAAGCCUGACGGAGCAACGCCGCGUGAGUGAUGAAGGUCUUCGGAUCGUAAAACUCUGUUAUUAGGGAAGAACAUAUGUGUAAGUAACUGUGCACAUCUUGACGGUACCUAAUCAGAAAGCCACGGCUAACUACGUG